GACGCAUGUAGAUUACUUUUAUAAUAACGAAUAGGAAAGAAGUAACCGAUAGAUAGCAAAGACAGCAAUUAUUAUUUUGAGUAUAAAAAAGGGCAAUCAUUUACUGGCUGUCACAACUUUUGCGUCGACUGUCUUCUAACGAGCGCCCAACUGCGAUAUAUAAAUCGAAAUUUGUUUAUAAUGUCGAAGCUCAUUAUUUUUUUAAUAUGUAUGGUUGCAUUGUCUGCUAUUGAAAUCUGUCAAGCUAAGGUUAAGUGUCCACGCUGUGGAAAUGACGGAGAGACUUGUCAGUACGGUGAAUGCUGCGGUUCUAUGACUUGCAAGAAUAAUGACCACGGUCAAAAGGUAUGUCAAAUUAAGAGAAGUCCAUUUGGUUAGAAGAGUCGAAAAAAAAACUUGUCUUAUAAACUGCUAAAUUAUAAUUAAAUUGCUGUGAGUUUAAGGACAAAAUAAGAUGUAUUUAAUAAAUUGUAUCGUUUGAUUCAAUAAAAAAUUUAUUUCACACCAAAAAAAUGUUGUAUAAAAG